rnacentral:lncRNA from 1 species
UGGGAAAUGGGAGGAGAAAAUGAUUAGGACGGAAGAGGAGAGGGUCGGGUAGGGAGGGAGGGUAAAACAGAGAGAUGGGGAGGGAGGCCGGAAGUAAUAGCUAAUACAGCGAUUUGGGAAGGGAUUGGAAAACACGGGAAUUUGGGGAUUAGGGGCGUAACCGAUUACGCGCGUAAUACCUAUUACAGCGAACCAAACGCCGGAAUAGGGGCGUAAUGUAAUACGCACGUAAUCGGGGCGUAAUGGAUUGGGUAAUACGGCGAACCAAACACAGUGUUAGAGUUUUGCAAGAUUUUGGUUAUUUCAGAAGUUUUCUGCUGGUAUUCUUUUGGGUUUCCUUGGCUAUGGCUUUGGUUUUGUGGCUGGUUUGUUUUCAUCUGUCUCUUGACGGUCUAUCUCUUUUUUUUUUGCUUUUUGGUUUUGUUUUGUUUGGGUACUUUUAUUGUUGUUUUGAUGUUUCUGUACCUCUUGCCAGACUUUUUCUUGAGCCACUCAUC